ensembl:lncRNA
AUGUAUCUUUUUAAACUAUCCCUUAAACAUUAUUGGAAUAAUAGAACAUUGUGCAUACAUGCAAACACGAAUAUGAUCUUAAAAAAAUAUUUUUACUUCAUUAUUUGUUGUUUGUUGUUUGUUAGCAUCUCCACGUUCCUUCAAAGCAAUUUCAGGAUGCGCCUCAACCAGCGGGAAAAGGAGGAACGGGUUAACAUUCAGUGGAAGCCUGGCCAUAUAACUCAUACUGUACAAAUCGAUGCCACAGGCUGUGGAGUGUUUGUCUUACAGAUGGCAAAAGAAACUGUACAACAGUUUCCUGACUUUCCUGAUACAGUACAUUUGAUAUAAAUCCAACGAGGGACAAUAUUGAACAACUAAGAUUGAAAAUGGCAAUGGAAAUAUCCCUUGCAUCAGGUUAGUUCCUCAAAACUGCUAAACAUUUUUGUGUAAUGGAGAAAAAAAAGAAAGAAAGAAAAAGGCUAAUUUCAGUGAAAUGGUUGACAGUUAAAUUAUUCCCAACUAUGCAUUUUAGAAUCAAAAGAGGACUACUGUUCUAUUUGUGCACUGAAAGACCUCCCUCAAAGGACAAAUAAGGACAUCAUAGACUGGGUAAUUUUUCUGUUUAAUGGCUGUUGAUACUGUAUUUGUUAAAUUUGAAUAGGCCUAGAUUAGAAUCCUGACCCAUUGUUCUGACAUGGUAAAUUGGACAAAGCCAACACUGCCAAUGAAUGAUCAUAACUUGGAUAAUAUUUUCACCAUCUCUGAUUCUCCUGCAGGUUCAGUGUGAAAAAUUUGUUCGGUGGUUUCACAGUUCAUGUGUAGGAUUCAAUGUUACAGAGACCUCUGGCAUGAAUUCACCAUGGUUCUGUGUUGUGCAAAAUUUAAAAGGUAAUUGACAAAGUGCAUAUAUUAAUUAAAAAACAUGCUACGUCUACAGCAGUUCAUCUUAUUGCAUUUUUUUAAUGCAUAAUGUCUUGUUUUACAGUAAUGAGCAUGUGCUUUUCUUUUUUAGUAAAGCUGACGGAUUUUAUGUGCUUUAUGUGACACUAAAGGAAGUGUGUGAACAAACAUAAGAUUGUGUUGUGCUUGAAGAAGAAUUUUUCAUGCAUGUGGCACCUUUUUGUAAAUAAAAACAAACAAACAAAAAAACUACUAUUUGCCAAAUGUUGUUUGAUCAUUUUGAACUGAAUUUGCAUAAUACAUAUUAGUAAAAAAUGCAUUUGCUUAACUGUGUGAUCUUGCACUUUCAAAUUUGCUGGAAAUUAUUAAAAUGCUUUAAAGUCUUAUAAAUAUAUAAAAAAAAAAAGUUAGCUGAUGCUAACUGGCUAGCUAAUUAGCUGCCUGAUGCUAACUUGAGGUUAUUUUUUAAAAAUAAAGUCCAAAUAUUUUUAGUCAACCAACUAUUUAGAAUACAUUUGAUGGAAAAACAAAGGAUUUGAUGUUCAGAACAGAAUAACUACAGUAAUUGCCCAUUGCCCCCUGGGGGCGUUUUUCCCCACAGACUAUGUUUGAUAAAAAAAAAAUUAUGUAAUUUUGAAAAUAUAAUUAUAUUUUUAUUAAAUAACGUACUCCCUAUCUUCAGGCCCUGCUGUUUU